rnacentral:lncRNA from 1 species
CAAGGAUUAGGUAAGUUCUCCCCGCGGUAGACUUCAAAUACUCUUUGUCCUGCCCCUGCUUGGCGAAAUUUACCGAAAUUAUCUACCUAUCCCGCUGGAGUGGGAGCCGGGGGAGAGCUGGAACCGCGUCUCUGCUGCUCACCUUUGUGUCCUUAGCUCCUUCGCAUGGGGUCCGACCGCAACACGUGCGCUGGAUAAACGCUUGUUAACUGGGUAAAAGUCUUGCAGUGAAAAACCCGAGGACCCUUACCGCAAGUGUCUUUUGCUCCCAGCUACUGAUACUGGAUUCCACUCGUGAUUCUCCCUUUCUUAGCGCAUUCAUGAUAUAGACAUCAGUCUCUGAGCUGGAGGAGGACAAAGGCAGCGGUCCUGUGAAUUCUAUGCUCUAGCUUGGGUUAAGGGAUUUGGAAUUGCACUUGUUUCAGAGAGCUCCCUCUUUGCCCACUAGCAGGGCAUUAGCUGGUGCUGAAGACAGUGGCUGCUUGGCGAGCCUGGAUCUCCAAGUGACCCCCUCAGCAACUCCUGAUGAACAGGACUGAAGCCAAUAUUAAAGCAAGUCAACCAAAGGUUCUCUGGUGUAGACAAGACAGCAAAAGGACAGACUACCUUGUGGAACCUAGCAUUGUUCUCCUUCUGCAGCACUAAGUAACAUUUGUUCUCCGUUAAGAUCUUUGCAAACCACACACAAGAAUUGCUGGUCAUCCUGCCAAUAGAUGCUGCUCACAGAACCAAAUUUCCUGUGCUGAAUUGUCACUCAUGGGCUUGAGAGUAGGAGACUGGAGACCAAGGUGGCUAGAAUCCAGUUGGGCCUGAUGUCUCCC